rnacentral:rRNA from 1 species
UGGGGAAUAUUGCACAAUGGGGGAAACCCUGAUGCAGCGACGCCGCGUGAGCGAAGAAGGUUUUCGAAUCGUAAAGCUCUGUCCUAUGAGAAGAUAAUGACGGUAUCAUAGGAGGAAGCCCCGGCUAAAUACGUGCCAGCAGCCGCGGUAAUACGUAUGGGGCGAGCGUUGUCCGGAAUUAUUGGGCGUAAAUGGUACGUAGGCGGUCUAUUAAGUCAGGUGUGAAAGCGUGAGGCUUAACCUCAUUAAGCACUUGAAACUGAUAGACUUGAGUGAAGGAGAGGAAAGUGGAAUUCCUAGUGUAGCGGUGAAAUGCGUAGAUAUUAGGAGGAAUACCGGUGGCGAAGGCGACUUUCUGGACUUUUACUGACGCUCAGGUACGAAAGCGUGGGGAGCAAACAGG